ensembl:lncRNA
CCGGUGUUUAACUUAAUUUUAUUAUCACAUACAGAGAUGGGUACAGGGAUGGGUUGGAAUAUGUCACACAGGUAUUAAACAUUUUGCUAAGUUAGAUAUCAAACUAAAAUAAGCAAUCUGUAUCACUUCUUAUGAAGUGAUAUGAAGUCUUAUGAAGUCAUCAAUGAAGUCGUCACUGUAAUCGUAUUCGUCUGGACUCUCGCUGUUUUUGUAGUCCAUCGUAUCCUCCAAAUCCUCACCGGGGAUCUUAUCUUCAUCCUCAUGACACUCUUCCGAUUCGCAGUUUACUUCCUCAGCCUCGUUCAGCCAAGGGUGCUCGUUGUCCUGACUGUACCUGUGGUGCAAGCUGUGUGCUGGUGAAUCGUGGGCCAUGUUGUCACUCUUGGACCCAGAUGAUUUAGAGGCUGAAGACUUAUUUGACUUAGAAGCCGAGCGAUCUUGCGUCACCGCUUUGGGGUGGUGAAAAGGUUCUUGUUUCUUGGCACAUUUGCCAACUCUUUUGCUACGCAGAUCGCUUUUUUUGCUUUGAGCGCUAGGUUUCAUCUUGUUGGACGGUUUAGCCACCAGCUGGUCUAGUCUAUCAUGAAAGUCUGAUUGGACAUCAGUAACUUCCAGUGACGACUCUGCAGCAGAUGUAGGCUCAGCAGGUUGGUUCGGGUGAUCCUCUCUGUCUAGCCCGUCCUCCUCACGGUCACACCCCCUCUCUCCCUUGUAAUCAGGUGACUCUUGUUGAAGGGUAUCAGUAGGCCACGCAGCUUGAUCGGUCACCUUGGCCACUCUUGCAGCCUCUCCACUUAAGCUCUGCGCUUGGGUCUGUGGAACACCAGGACUUCUAUGUGAAGAUGUAGCGUUGGGGUGGUAGCUGGGUUCUUGCUUUUUGAGAGCCUCUGGCUCCUGGAGGGACCUCCCUGGCUCUGUCCUUUUGAGUUUGCGUCUGGGUGUAUUGUCAAGCAUGCCCUUUUGAGUAUUCUCACACGCUCUUCUCUCCUUCUGCUCGGAGUAGGUGUUGCUGAUAAGAGAGCUAGUGCAUUUUAUCUUGGAAGGACUGACUCCCUUUAUACCUCCCCCCAGUUUCUCCUCCCCUUCGUAGUCAUCCGACAGCUUUUCCCGAGUCCGACAGCUUUUGCCUUUUUGUCCAGCCCUCUCUGUCAAAGCACCGGACAGACAUGUCUUUAACCACCUUGUCACUCCUGCCAUGUUUCUCCUCACUCCUGUCAGGCCGGCUGUUCUUCUUUGUAUGUUUGGACCCAGAUAACUUACAGGCUGAAGACUUAUUUGACUUAGAAGCUGAGUGAUCUUGCGUCACCGCUUUGCUGAAGUUUUUUGUGUCCCACCGUGUCUCAUUUAUCCACUCAUGGCUGAAUCGUCCACCCAUGGCCGAUUCGUCCAACCAUGGCUGAAUCUUCCAACCAUGGCUCAUUUAUCCAACCAUGGCGGAAUCGUCCAACCAUGGUUAAUUUAUCCACCCAUAGCUGAAUCGUCCACCCAUGGCUGAAUCGUCCACCCAUGGCUGAAUCGUCCAGCCAUGGCUGAAUCGUCCACCCAUGGCUCAUUUAUCCACCAAUAGCUGAAUCGUCCAGCCAUAGCUGAAUCGUCCAGCCAUGGCUGAAUCGUCCAGCCAUGACUGAAUCGUCCAACCUUGGCUCAUUUAUCCAACCAUGGCGGAAUCGUCCAACCAUGGCUUAAUCUUUCCCAGUUGUCAGGAUAACGACAGUGUAUGUUCUGAUCACGGCUCUGCUUCUGUCAUAGUAGACAAGGUUGUUUUUUGCAGAGUACUGUUGUUGCCCUUGUCCGUAUCGCCCUGAAGGCCUCUCUGCCUUAAUCAAGAUGUUGUAGAAACCUUGACAGAAAUACUGUCUCAUCUUCUUCUGUAUCGAGCCACUCUGUGCCCACAAUUUGUUGCUGUUGGGCACAAGGCUCAAGGUUCAAUUUCAAGUUGUGCUGUUCUGUCUCAGCGUUGAAUUGGAGAUGUGUUCCAGGCAUAACAAGGUCAGGCCUUCCGCCUUUUCCCAAACAAAAUUUCCGUUAUGCCAUGAAUCUGGCUCUGGAACACAGAACGUGCCAAAGUGAAAGGUUGCAGGAGGUUUCACUUCACAUGGUUGUCCCAAUUCGUGUCCAUGCAUUAAGCUAGAGGUCCGCCACACAGUCCUUACAGGAGAAGACAAAACAUUGCAUCAAUAUACCUAUUAUCCUGGUCCCUAAUAUAAAGGCUACUGCAAUACUAAAAAUAACACUCAACUAAUAAUGAAACGGUGUGACUGAAUGUCAGAAAGAAAUAGGGACUGGGGCGGCGGAAGGCCGCGGUAAAGAAACUGGGGCGGCAGCAGGCCGUGGAAAAGGGACAGGUGCUGGCUGUGGAGCAACAAGAGGGGCGGUGGCAGGGACUAGGACAGCGGCAGGCCAAAUAAGAGGUCACAUACCACGAAGGGUUUUCUGUCACAAUGAAUUUUGGUGUUGUAUCCUCCAUGUUGUUGUAUAUUGAUGAAUAAAGCCACUUGGUUACCAGUGGAACUGAGUUAUAAAUAAUUCAGGCUGUAAACAAUAAACGCACUGUAGUUUAGGCACAGGGGCAGCGGCAGGCCGCUGAGCAGAAACAGGGGCGGCGGCAGGCCGAGGAGAAGAAAAGGGGUGGCAGGCUUUGGAAAACGGGACUGGGGCUGGCUGUGGAGCAACAAGAGGGACGAUGGCAGGGACUGGAGCGGCGACAGGACGCGGAGUAGGGGCAGAGACUGGGAUGGGGGCCGGCCGCAGAGAAGGGACUAGGGCGGCGGCAGGCCAAAUAAGAGGUCACAUACCACCAAGGGUUUUAUGUCAAAAUGAAUUUCGGUGUUGUAUGCUGUGGCAGCAGGGACUGUGAUUGUUGUGAUUUUUCAUUUCAGUUCCAAAGAUGCAUUGUUGAGCUGGGAGAUGCUGUUGCCUGGGUAAAUGCCAACAUGGGCCUCUCCUGAGACUGGGUACAAGUCCUCACCCCUGAAUGAUGAGGAAAUACAGGUGGUCUGCAGAUGCUCAGAGAGGCUUCAAAUCUAGAGGAAGAACUCUCUCCCCAUUCAUGUUUUUGUUUAGUAAUUUUGAAGACACUGAAACAUUCAUGGACGAAACAGACAAAAGAGGACUUAGUGAUAAUUUUUCAGGAUACCUAUUAGCUGUCUUUAAACCAUCAUCUAAUGCUGUUUUCCACACAACAACAAUUACAAGAUCCAGAAAACACAAUACAAUUUGACGAGACAAACAGACAAAGAACAUCAUUUAUUUAGCAAGAAUAAACUGGACAGUGUUUUGGAAGUGUUCACCUGGCCAUACAACAUGAUAGGAUGAAUCCAAAUCCUACAGAAUCUGGCCAAAGUUGAAUACACAGUACGUAAAGAAACAGUUUAGUUUUGACAGUGUUGGAAUGUAAUGUUUUGAAUAUUUAAUGGGGUAAUUAAAUGUUUAAUUGUCUAACUGGCAUAUAAUUUAAUGUUGUAUUUUUAAGUUAUGCCAUUAACUUUAAGAUUUUGGGCUACAUUAAUUGACUUUCUCAUUUGUGCUCUUUUGGACCUGUUCUACUUGUAAUUUAUGCUAUUGAAUCAACUUUUAGGUUAAGGGUUAAAUUAGAUGUAACACUUACAUUCCUCCCCCCAAAAAAUUAAGUCCAUAACCACAUCAUUACUAUAUAAUAAAUGUUGCUUGUUCCAGGCACUCCUGGAAAAAUGUAUUGUUCUGUAAACAGAUGUUGACCUGAGCUCUACAUGAUGCAAAUUGAAACUUGCCAUUUUUCUGCAACAGGCUAUAGAAAAUUCCACACUUCCAAUUACCAGUUUCAACUUUCUACAAGAUUGCUUUUAAAUUGAACAGUGCAAGUCAGAGGAAGGAGAAACCAUUACAAUGAUUUGUAUGAAAACUGGUCAGAUCUAUACAGGUAGAACCCACAGGUCUAGGGAAAGGACCUUCAGAACAGUUUAGCUGUCACUGAAGUUGUUGCUCCCAGGUCCACCGCAAGAUAUAUCUUACACACCGUGUUCACAUUUGUGUAAUAUGUUGAAUCUAUGGAAAAUACAUAAAUGGUAAUAUUGUAUAAACUUGUGCAAAAGGGAGGCCUGUUUCACUUUGUAACAUGAAGAGCUCAGAUCAACUAUAUUUUAACUGCAAUAAGCAGCAUUCUCAAUCAUCAACCUCCUAAUGAUGGCCUUCAACUUAAUCACAUAUAACCAAGCAAUGGCUACUCAAAGAAAAACUGACCAUGGCAGGCAUAGUGAGUAUGACUGUGCAUGUGUCUGAAUUAUAACUGCACUUAGCAGCUUUCAAAACCACCAGUAUCUCAUUCUUGACUGUAACCUAAACAUUUAAAACUUUUUUAGAGGCACCUCAGUCUUCAAAACAAUAUAUUUCAGUUGUUAUCAAACAAUUUUAAUCCUGAUACAAAAUACAAUUAAAUGUUUUAUUUUACAUAAUUGGUACAAGCAUAAUCAGACUAGUGUUUUUUCAACAUGCAGUCAAAGCAAAUACACUUUUGUUUUCUAUCAGUGCUUCAACUGCUUGAACCUAGAGUUAUAUCUUGACAAAUUAUAUUGAAUAAAAUCACAUGGACUCUGAGAUAAAGUUGUAACUAUAGUUUACUCUUCCUCCAUUAGUACACUCAACGUAAUGACAUCAUACCCAUACAUGACACCUAUUGUUGAAACGUGUGUCAAACCAGGAUGUCCCCAAACUGACCAAUGGCGAACAUCAGUGGAUGUAACUUAAUGUUCAGGAACCCCCAUUUAAACUGACCAAUAGCGAACAUCAGAGGGCGUAACUAAAUAUUCAGGAACCCCCAUAUAUAAAGAAACUCCCCCGACUUGCGGAAAAGGGACUGGGGCUGGCUGUGGAGAAACAAUAGAGACAGCUGAAGGGACUGGCGCAACCGCAGUCCGCAGAGCAGGGACAAGGGCAGGGACUAGGGCGGCGGCAGGCCAGAUAAGAGGACACAUACCACGAAGGGUUUUAUUUCACAAUGAAUUUCGGUGUUGUAUCCUCCAUGUUGUUGUAUAUUGAUGAAUAAAGCCACUCUUUGUUGUAUGUGGCAGAGUCUGUAUCCCACCUCUCCUUGGACUCUCUGUUGUAUGUCACAGUCUGUCACUCACCUCUCCUUGGACACUCUGUUGUAUGUCACAGUAUGUAUCUCACCUCUCCUUGGACACUGUUGAUUGAGGCGGAAGCCAAAUAAGAGGACACAUACCACGAAGGGUUAUAUGUCACCAUGAAAUAUGGUGUUGUAUCCUCCUUGUUGUUGUAUAUUGAUGAAUAAAGCCACUCUUUGUUGAAUGUGGCAGAGUCUGUAUCCCACCUCUCCUUGCACUCUCUGUUGUAUGUCACAGUCUGUCACCCACCUCUCCUUGGAAUCUCUGUUGUCUGAGGCGGAAGCCAAAUAAGAGGACACAUACCACGAAGGGUUAUAUGUCACAAUGAAUUUCGUUGUUGUAUUUUGAUGAAUAAAGCCACUGUUUGUUGAAUGUGGCAGGGUCUGUAUCCCACCUCUCCUUGGACUCUGUUGUAUGUCACAGUCUGUCACCCACCUCUCCUUGGACACUCUCUGUUGUAUGUCACAGUCUGUCACCCACCUCUCCUUGCACUCUCUGUUGUCUGAGGCGGAAGCCAAAUAAGAGUACACAUACCACGAAGGGUUGUAUGUCACAAUUAAUUUUGGUGUUGUAUCCUCCUUGUUGUCGUAUAUUGAUGAAUAAAGCCACUCUUUGUUGUAUGUGGCAGAGUCUGUAUCCCACCUCUCCUUGAACUCUCUGUAGUAUGUCACAGUCUGUCACUCACCUCUCCUUGGACUCUCUGUUGUAUGUCACAGUCUGUCACUCACCUCUCCUUGGACACUCUCUGUUGUAAGUCACAGUCUGUCACCCACCUCUCCUUGGACUCUGUUGUCUGAGGCGAAAGCCAAAUAAGAGGACACAUACUACGAAGGGUUAUAUGUCACAAUUAAUUUUGGUGUUGUAUCCUCCAUGUUGUCGUAUAUUGAUGAAUAAAGCCACUCUUUGUUGUAUGUGGCAGAGUCUGUAUCCCACCUCUCCUUGCACUCUCUGUUGUAUGUCACAGUCUGUCACUCACCUCUCCUUGGACUCUCUGUUGUACAUGUCACAGUCUGUCACCCACCUCUCCUUGGACACUCUCUGUUGUAUGUCACAGUCUGUCACCCACCUCUCCUUGGACUCUGUUGUCUGAGGCGGAAGCCAAAUAAGAGGACACAUACCACGAAGGGUUAUAUGUCACAAUUAAUUUUGGUGUUGUAUCCUCCUUGUUGUUGUAUAUUGAUGAAUAGAGACACUCUUUAUUGUAUGUGGCAGAGUCUGUAUCCCACCUCUCCUUGCACUCACUGUUGUAUGUCACAGUCUGCCACUCACCUCUCCUUGGACUCUCUGUUGUAUGUCACAGUCUGUCACUCACCUCUCCUUGGACACACUCUGUUGGAUGUCACAGUCUGUCACCCACCUCUCCUUGGACCCUCUGUUGUCUGAGGCGGAAGCCAAAUAAGAGGACACAUACCACGAAGGGUUAUAUGUCACAAUGAAUUUCGUUGUUGUAUUUUGAUGAAUAAAGCCACUGUUUGUUGAAUGUGGCAGGGUCUGUAUCCCACCUCUCCUUGGACUCUGUUGUACAUGUCACAGUCUGUCACCCACAUCUCCUUGGACACUCUCUGUUGUAUGUCACAGUCUGUCACCCACCUCUCCUUGGACUCUGUUGUAUGUCAGAGUCUGUCACCCACCUCUCCUUGCACUCUCUGUUGUUUGAGGCGGAAGCCAAAUAAGAGGACACAUACCACGAAGGGUUAUAUGUCACAAUUAAUUUUGGUGUUGUAUCCUCCUUGUUGUUGUAUAUUGAUGAAUAGAGCCACUCUUUAUUGUAUGUGGCAGAGUCUGUAUCCCACCUCUCCUUGCACUCUCUGUUGUAUGUCACAGUCUGUCACUCACCUCUCCUUGGACACUCUCUGUUGUAUGUCACAGUCUGUCACCCACCUCUCCUUGGACACUCUCUGUUGUAUGUCACAGUCUGUCACCCACCUCUCCUUGGACACUCUCUGUUGUAUGUCACAGUCUGUCACCCACCUCUCCUUGGACUCUCUGUUGUCUGAGGCGGAAGCCAAAUAAGAGGACACAUACCACGAAGGGUUAUAUGUCACAAUGAAUUUCGUUGUUGUAUUUUGAUGAAUAAAGCCACUGUUUGUUGAAUGUGGCAGGGUCUGUAUCCCACCUCUCCUUGGACUCUCUGUUGCAUGUCACAGUCUGUCACUCACCUCUCCUUGGACUCUGUUGUAUGUCACAGUCUGUCACUCACCUCUCCUUGGACACUCUCUGUUGUAUGUCACAGUCUGUCA